rnacentral:snoRNA from 1 species
AUCAUUUUGUAGCUCAUACACAUGAUGAUUGGGUUUUCAUGCCCAUGUGUGAGAUGUGCCUCCCUCAAACCUUGUUAUGACAUGGGCACAUUAUCUGUCAGACA